UGGGUUUCGGCACAUUUGGGCAGUUCCUGGUAAAGACAAUGAUCAAACAAGGCCUUACCAUAAGGGCUACUUCUCGGACUGAUCAUUACCACCUCUCUCAUCAAUUGGGUGUUUCCUUCUUCGGGGAUCUAGUUUCAUUUCUUGAAGCAGAUAAUGAUGUGAUAUUGUUAUCCACAUCAAUCCUCUCUCUAUCCGAGGCCUUUACAUUGCCUUAAACGCCGGACACUGUUCGUCGACGUGCUUUCGGUUAAAGAACACCCGAGAAACCUUCUAUUGCAAGUUUUGCCGGAGGAGAUGGAUGUGCUCUGCACUCGUCCCAUGUUUGGACCUGAAAGUGG